CAUAAGCAAAGACACUUUCAAUAUCUGUGCUGCUAAAGGGGAAUCCUUCCCCAUUCCCAUCAUUAUGAAUGUCACCAUAAAGGGUAAUGGACUAACCAGAAAAGGGAGAUUUGUUUUUCUACCUCCAGCAUGUAACAACUUAAUUGGUCAGGAAUUCCAGAUACCUUUGAAAGCUGGAGUUCCACAAGAAGGAAGGAUGAAGGUCAAAUUGGUUACUUUAUCCACACAAGAUGAACAACUGAUUAAUCCUACAGUGUAGGCCCAACCAGGUCGCUGGGAUAAAAUGAACAUUACACCCAUUGUAAUGAAUCUCCUUCCAGACAUUAAACCAGCAAAAGUACCCCAGCACCCCCUUACAAAGACCAAAAGGUAUGGGCUAAAACCCAUAAUAACUGAACUGUGACAUGAUAAUAUACUAGAGCCAUGUACUUCCACAUACAACACCCCAUUCUUGCUAUUAAAAAGCCUGACAAUAGUUACAGGCUAGUUCAAGACCUACGUGAAGUAAAUAAAAGAGUGCAAGCUGUGUGCCCGUUAGUACAAAACCCUUACACCUUGUUAAGUUAUCACCUACACACUCUUGGUUCUCAGUAACUGACCUGAAGGAUGCAUUUUGGUCAUGCCCUGUAGAUUCUCCUUCUAGACACCUGUUUGCCUUCACCUGGGAAGAUCCAGACACUGGAAGGAAACAGCAGCUGACCAGGACCUGGCUACCCCAAGGGUACACGGAGUUGCCCACACUCUUCGGUCAGGCCUUGGAGAGCCUGUUCAUUUCCUUUUCUCCACCCUCAGGAAUACAAGUAACACAGUAUGUAGAUGACAUAGUACUCUCCAGAGAGCAAGAACCCACUGUAAAAUUAGGCACCAUUCAAUUACUGAACCAUCUAGGAGAGAAUGGACUAAGAGUAUCUAAAUCCAAACUACAAUUUGUUAAACCAAAGUAAAAUAUUUCGCACAUGUAAUUGGUCAUGGUACCGAAAAUUGAGUACUGAAAGGAUAGAAGGAAUUUUAAAUUUACAACCUCCACAAAAAAAGAGCGAGGUUAGACAAUUAUUAGGCUUAAGGAGGUAUUGUAGAAUAUGGAUUGAUGAAUACACACAAAGUAUCACAAUUUUAUAUGAAAAAUUAACUACAUCAGAACCUAUUAAUUGGACCCAAGAGGAUAAUAAGAACUUAGAAAAUUUAAAGCAAAAGAUGAUUCAGACCCCAGUUCUCUUUCUUCCUUCACUAGAAGAAGAUUUUCACCUAUAUAUUAAACCUAUAUAGGAAUUACUUACGGGGUCUUGGCCCAAGAGUGGUCAGGAUUUCAUAAACCUGUAGCCUACUUGUCCAUAUUGUUGGUCCCUCUGUCCCAAGGAUGGCAAACAUGCAUCCAAUCAAUCGCUGCAGCAGCCAUCCUAGUAACAGCCAGCCAAAAACUUACAUUUGAGAGAAAUCUGAUAGAAUACAUACCACACUCCAUCCAAACCAUUCUUAAACAACGAGCAGCCGAAUGGCUAACAGACUCUCAUAUUAUACAAUAUGGGAGCACCCUCAUCCAUUCCACAAAUGUAACCCUGAAAACAAUUACCCACACCAAUCCCGCACAGUUCCUAUGUGGAAUUCCCCAAAAACAAGAUCUCAUGCACAACUGCAUAGUUUUUAUAAACCUGCAAACAAAAAUUCAAGAAGACCUCCUAGAGAGCCCAUUAGCUGAAGGAGAAAUCCUGUUCAUCGACGGAUCAUCAAGAGUAGUAAAUGGAAAGAGGUGCUCUGGAUACUCCAUCAGAGAUGGAAAACAACUGUACAUGUUAGAAAAGGAAAACUACCACCUUCCUGGUCUGCCCAGGUAUGUGAAUUAGAUGCUUUGGAAAAAGCAUUGCACAGACUAAACUAUUGGAACCAUUUAUACAGACUCUAAAUAUGCAUAUGGAGUAGUCCACACAUUCGGGAAAAGCUGGGCUGAAAGAGGGUUUCUCAGAUCUAAGGGCAAAGACAUUUUACACAAAGAACUUAUAUUAAAAAUUAGAGGCACUUAAGUUACCGAAAGAAAUUGCAAUGGUACGUUCUCCAGGUCAUCAAAAGGGAACUCUGGAGAAACUAGAGGAAGCAUCCUAGCAGACCAUGCUGCAAAGGAGGCUGCUUUUGAGGGGGAAGUAAAGGUAUACAGAUUUUAUCCAAGAGACACACACCCGAGAGUACACUGGACAACACUCUUCCCAUACCUAUUUUUAAAGACAGUGAAAAACAGAAACUCAUAUCACUAGGUGGAAAGGAAGAUUCUGAGGGACGGUGGCAUCCUCCUGAUGGCCACCAAAUGUUAAAUAAAGAGCUCACUCGAGAAAUUUUACAGAACUUCCACCAAGCCACGCACUGGGGAUCUAAAGCUUUAGCAGGUCACUUUCUUCAAAAUUUUGGAUGUCAGGGAAUUGAUGAAUUAGCUAACCAAAUUACCAUAGGUUGUAUAAUUUUCCAAAAAGUCAAUAGAAAAUUAAUGAGGAGAAUGAGACCUGGAAGAAUUGAAAUUGCAAUUAGACCCUUCCAAAGUAUGCAAUUUGAUUUCACAGAAAUGCCCCAUGUCCAAAGAUGGAAGUAUUUCUUAGUGAUUGUAGAUCACCUUACCAAUGGGGUUGAAGCAUUUCCAACUGUUAAUGCCACUGCUCAAACAAUAAGUAAGGUAAUCCUAGAAUAGAUAGUCCCAAGAUAUGGAAUUAUAAAUAACAUUGAUUCAGACCAAGGUACCCAUUUUACAUCAUUAGUAUUGCAACAAUUGGCUCAAUAAUUUGGAAUAACUUGGAAAUUACAUACCCCUGGCACCCUCAAAGUUCGGGAAGGGUAGAACGCAUGAAUCAGACUAUUAGAACAACCCGGACCAAACUGAUGUUAGAAAUGAAGUGGACUUGGAUAAAGUGCCUACCCCUUGCCCUUCUCAGAAUCCAGAGCUAACCCAGAGCUGACUAAGGCUGUUCCCCAUGUGAAAUGUUAUAUAGGCUUCCCUAUUUAGCCACCCCACAUCAAGUAACUGCCAAAGAGUGAGGAAAUAGAAAUAUGCAAAGGUAUAUUCAAAUGAUUGCCCAGAAUCUAAAAGACUUAAAGCAGAGAGGUCGUGUACCCCAGAACAUUCCUUUAGACUUCUAUUUACAUAAGAUAUGCCCCGGAGAGUAGGUACUUAUUAAAUGCUGGAAGGAACAAUCCCUGACUCCAUCAGGGGAAGGUCCUUUCCAAGUUCAACUGACCACAGAGACAGCCAUCUGAGCACAGGAAAAAGGGUGCACUUCCGUCAGCCGAGUAAAAGGUCCAGUAACACCACCACAAGAUAACGAGAAACCUCCAUGAACUACUCUCUACAACAGUCCUCCCCGUGUUAUCCCUGAAAUUAUUAUAUCAAUUGUUAUUCUCUCACUGUUUUACAGCAGAGAAUCUAAUGGUUAUUGUACUUACUAUUUAACAAGUUAUUACGAAUUUUCAAUUCCAUUUCUCCACCAGUGAAGAGUAUAAUUUCCCUGAGAAAUUACUUUCCAAUAACUAUAUCUUUUUUUUUUUUUUUUUUUUUUUUAAUUUCCUUGGGAGAAACAACAUGAAUAGAACCAAGGCCAGUUCCAGGUAGGACUUUCCUGCAUCCAGGUACACUCCCAUGACAACCAAGGGGUCUGAACCCAGUCGAAAAACCAGAGAGCUUGAAAGGUCUGCACCACCUAUCAGAGAGUACCACAGCACUUCAAUCUUCCCAUUGACCCCUAGGGAAUGGAAGGUUGAACUGGUAACUUGAUGCCACAGCAAUGGUGCAUACUAAUGAGAGAGCUUCCCAUCAAAAACCUCAGAGAUAUCAUCCCACCCCAGUGACAGCACACUCUGGGAAAGAAGAUCUUACCCCAUCAUCUACUAGCACCAAUCACCUGAGACUAUGGGGGCGGAACUGCAAGUACAGACUGAGGGGAUCGAGAACAUCAAAGGGGCAGCCUGGCCUGAAGAGCUGUCUUUGCUGUCUUUUACUGUUCCUGGGACUGUGACUUAGCUACAGCAGGGGACCCCACACUGCAGAUUUUGGUCAAUAUCUCUUUUUAGAGACCUUUUUCCAGAUUUGAGGGCAGACUAAGUGCAUUCACUGCAAUGCCCUCGGGUUCUUGCCUUGGGGCCAAACGCCAGUUCAGCUAGAGAUUUCCUCAAUCCUUGGGCUUGGGACUUUAUCCUUUUUUCUUUCUUUCCUUUCUUCUUUUUCCUUACCUCCCUUUUUGUUUUUCCUCUUUAAAUAAACACCCUAUUUUUGUUCAAA